rnacentral:rRNA from 1 species
UACAGAGGUCUCAAGCGUUGUUCGGAUUCAUUGGGCGUAAAGGGUGCGUAGGCGGCGCGGUAAGUCGGGUGUGAAAUCUCGGGGCUUAACUCCGAAACUGCAUUCGAUACUGCCGUGCUUGAGGACUGGAGAGGAGACUGGAAUUUACGGUGUAGCGGUGAAAUGCGUAGAUAUCGUAAGGAAGACCAGUGGCGAAGGCGGUCUCUGGACAGUUCCUGACGCUGAGGCACGAAGGUCAGGGGAGCAAACGGG